rnacentral:rRNA from 1 species
GACGAAGGGGGCUAGCGUUGUUCGGAAUUACUGGGCGUAAAGCGCGCGUAGGCGGUCCAUCGCGUCGGGAGUGAAAAGCUGGGGCUCAACCCCAGUCCUGCUUCCGAUACGGGUGGACUAGAGGUAGGCAGGGGAGAACGGAAUUCCUGGUGUAGCGGUGAAAUGCGCAGAUAUCAGGAGGAACACCGGUGGCGAAGGCGGGUCUCUGGGCCGAUACUGACGCUGAGGAGCGAAAGCGUGGGGAGCGAACAGG